UGCUACAGCUACGCUACCCUGAACAAGCCCGAUCCCAUCGGAUCUCGGAAGCUAAGCAGGGUCAGGCCUGGUUAGUACUUGGACGGGAGACCACCUAGGAAGAUCAGGUGCUGUAGGCA
rnacentral:rRNA from 1 species